rnacentral:rRNA from 2 species
AUUGACCUCGGAUCAGGUAGGGAUACCCGCUGAACUUAAGCAUAUCAAUAAGCGGAGGAAAAGAAACCAACAGGGAUUGCCUCAGUAACGGCGAGUGAAGCGGCAACAGCUCAAAUUUGAAAUCUGGCCCCGUCGGGGUCCGAGUUGUAAUUUGUAGAGAGUGUUUCGGGUGAGACCACGGUCUAAGUCUAUUGGAACAUGGCGUCAUAGAGGGUGAGAAUCCCGUAUGUGACCGUGGCUCGAGCCCAUGUGAAGCCUCUUCGACGAGUCGAGUUGUUUGGGAAUGCAGCUCAAAAUGGGUGGUAAAUUUCAUCUAAAGCUAAAUACUGGCUGGAGACCGAUAGCGCACAAGUAGAGUGAUCGAAAGAUGAAAAGCACUUUGGAAAGAGAGUCAAAAAGUACGUGAAAUUGUUGAAAGGGAAGCGCUUGCAACCAGACCUGUCCGUAGGUGAUCAACCGCUGUUCUCAGUGGUGCACUCGCUCUGCGAUCAGGCCAGCAUCGGUUCCGGCGGUCGGAUAAAGGCCUUGGGAAUGUAGCUCCCUUCGGGGAGUCUUAUAGCCCUCGGUGCAAUGCGGCCAGCCGGGACCGAGGACCGCGCUUCGGCUAGGAUGCUGGCGUAAUGGUUGUAAGCGACCCGUCUUGAAACACGGACCAAGGAGUCUAACAUCUAUGCGAGUGUUUGGGUGUUAAACCCAUGCGCGGAAUGAAAGUGAACGGAGGUGAGAACCCUUUAGGGCGCAUCAUCGACCGAUCCAGAUGUCUUCGGAUGGAUUUGAGUAUGAGCAUAGCUGUUGGGACCCGAAAGAUGGUGAACUAUGCCUGAAUAGGGUGAAGCCAGAGGAAACUCUGGUGGAGGCUCGCAGCGGUUCUGACGUGCAAAUCGAUCGUCAAAUUUGGGUAUAGG